CCUACGGGUGGCAGCAGUGAGGAAUAUUGGUCAAUGGACGAGAGUCUGAACCAGCCAAGUAGCGUGAAGGAUGACUGCCCUAUGGGUUGUAAACUUCUUCAACAAAGGAAUAAAACGAGGCACGUGUGCCUUUUUGCAUGUACUUUAUGCAUAAGGAUCGGCUAACUCCGUGCCGUCAGCCGCGGUCAUACGGAGGAUCCGAGCGUUGUCCGGAUGGAGUGGGUUUAGAGGGAGCGUAGACGGGGUGUUAAGUCAGUUGUGAAAGUUUGCGGCUCAACCGUAAAAUUGCAAUUGAUACUGGCAGGCGUGAGUACAGUUGAGGUAGGCGGAAUUCGUGGUGUAGCGGUGAAAUGCUUAGAUAGUACGAAGAACCCCGAUUGCGAAGGCAGCUUACUAAACUGUGACUGACAUUGAUGCUCGAAAGUGUGGGUAGCAAACAGGAUUAGAUACCCUUGUAGUC
rnacentral:rRNA from 1 species